ACAACAUGUGAGAGCAAAGUGUGACCUUGCACCAUUUCCUGGCCUCUGCUGUGGGCUGUGAGCACUGAAGGAGGUAGCACAGUU
rnacentral:snoRNA from 1 species